CGUCGCCACAAAGCUAAACACAAAAGCGACACAACAGCUUCCACAUCGCAGAAGAGGUGUUAUCGUUGCCGAGCUAGCCGCCCCAGCGACCCAGCAGCGCCAAAGCGAAAGUCGCCAAAGCCACUGAAGACGAAAACAUCAGCCAAGCCACCGAGGAGCCACUUCCUUCACACGGCCAGCACCAGAACUCCUUGGAAGAGACUGCAACAUGUCAUCGUUGCUAAGCGUCGCCGCACCCCAUCAGCGAGCAGCUUCGACUUCAUCAGCAGAAACAACCGAAGAGCGUGUCUCAUCGAUGCAUUGGAACUUCUCCGAAGCGACGCCCCUAAGGAGGAUACGACGUGUGACGCCGCCGCCGCUCGUCCAAAAAUCGGAACAAGGUUUUCACCUGGAGAGAUUUGUGAGGAUAUGAAAGAGUGCCAUGACAACGCCUCCAAGGAGGGAAACGACACCCACGGGCGCGCCAUUGUCGAACCGGCCAAAAGCACGGUAAGGCUUUCGCCAGCAUCUUCACAACACCCACACAAGCACCCCCACAUCGAUGGCCGCAGAAUAGUUCAUGACGUCUCAGAAGCAAUCAUACCUUGA
rnacentral:lncRNA from 1 species